GGGAUAAGUUGUGAGUAUACAGUAAGCCAGGGGCAACUAUUUCAUGAGGCACAUAGCAAAAAAUGUGCCUAGAUGUGCAUUUGUUCCAGUUUGGAAUGAUUUCUGUGUAAUAAGCGUCAACACAAGGAGUGGCAAAAGCCACAAAAGGAAGCUUGAUUCCAGGAUGCUGUUUACUUAGGACUGAAGGACAAGCUGCUGAAAAAGCAUCUAUGAGGGGCACUCACUAGGGCAUCUGUAGCAUCACUCAGGCUGGCAGGAGCAGACCCAUGUGCAACCAUGCUGGACAAUAACCCUGACAUUUCUUGGCUAUCGCCUCCAAGGUACACUUCGUUCAGAGCUAAAACUACUGGCAAACACUAAGAAUGAAUGUGAAUUCUUUGUUCAUCUUUGCUAGACAGAUACAAGAGUGCUGACUGAAAAGAAACCAACGGAGUGUCAGUAAGACUCUCUUCUACAGACAUCUGAUCUAGCACCUGAGAUUACACUGGACAAUGGCAGUAAGUCUGUUGACUGAACAAAAAAAUAGUCUCCAUGGAAAGGAUAAAUGGAAAGACCUUUUGUGCACCAGAUCCUCAUGGCUGCCUCAAAGCCAGUUUUUCCGAGUAAGGUACCAUUAAGAGAGGAAAAAAGCUAGCAACAAAUAACGGAAAAAUGUCGGAUGUUCAACAUGUAUAAGGAAUUAUCAUAAAGCAAUUUGGAGAAGAUAGAAAACUCAGAGGAAAAAUGAGCCAAAGAACUGGAUAGGUAAUUUAUAAAAAAGAAAAUUCGUAAUCCACUAAGCAUAUACAAAGGCAUUAAACGUCAUCAAUAAUCGGGGAAAUGCAAAUUAACACCACAAUGAUAUAUCAUUGCAUAACCAUCAGAAUAACUAAAAUUUGAAAGAUUGACAAUACUAAAUCCUGGUGAAGUGUUAGAAAAACUGGAAUUCUGAAACACUGUUGAUGUAAAACUAAAUUGAUGCAACCACUUUGGGAAAAUAUUUGGUGGUAGCUACUAAGAUUAAUAUUUGUAUACUCUCAGCCCCACUAUUCUGUUUGUUAUACUAACGUAACGAACAGAAUGAAAUUUCCAUAUUCAGUAGGAAAUGUGUACUAGAAUGUUUGUAGCAGCUUUACUAAAAAUGCUCAAAAACUAAAAAUUAUCAUAAUCUAUCAAUAAGAAAAUUGAUAGUAUGUUAACACAAUAGGAUGCUACAUAACUCUACACUAUAGCUACACAGAAACUAUGCUGCCACCUAAAAACGUCAUGUUGAAUGAAAAAAGAGAUUUUCAAAAAUACACUUUGUGCAACAUCACUCCUAUGAAGUUUAAAACAUGCAAAACCAACAAUUUUCUUUAGGAACACAUACUUAGGUGGACAUGAAAAGCAAAUAAGUGAAUAUCAUAAAAUUUUUACCUUUACGAAGAAGGAGUGUUCUGAGGGGUUUGUGACUGGUGGCAACAUCCUAUUCCUUGAUCUAGUUCAUGGAUACUUUAAUUUACUUUUUAAUUAUCUGUUAAACUAUACUUGUGUUUGGAAAGUUUUUCAUAUUCAUAGUUUAUACAAUAAAAGUGGGUUCAUAUAUAACAAUUUUAAUAAA